CUUCUUUUCUUCAUCUUCUUCCUUCUACCACUUCUUCACAUUCAUACCAAAUUCAUCAACAUUCAUACAAUAACUAGAAAAAAAAUCCAAAAAUAUAAAUAAAAAUCAACAUUUAUCAAACAUAUAAAACUCAUAUCAACAUCAAAUCAUCAUCCCUUCAACAAAUAAAUAAAAUCAAUACCUUUAUAUAUCAACUUAGUAGAAUUCAAUAUAACAAAUAAAACUCAGUACCUCACAACAAUUAAGAGAACAAAUCAAAAAAGAAAAGGAAAACGUGAAGAAAAUAAGAGAUAGAAACAGAGUUGUUGUGCUACACGUAGGCAACGAUUGCCUUGCCGGAAACAACGACGACGACAGAGACGAUGAUGAGAGGGAGAAGAGUUGCGAAGGUGAUGGAAAAGGGGUUAGGGUUCUGAAAGGGGUUAGGAUCUGCGGCGGCUUGCGGUGCUCAACGAAGUUGUGGUUGCUGCGAUUUCAUGGCAGUGGAAAAACUCGGUCUCUUUCACAGUUUCAACUUUUUAGUGAGUUUGAUUCCUUAGAGUUUGGAUUUGGUAUAAAACAAUUCCUGAAUCCUGAGUUUGAAACAAACGAUUCAUUUGAGUUUGAGUUUCAAAAUUUUGCAUAAUACAUUUAAAAUGAUUCCUUUAAUAUUGGGUUUGGUAAUCUUGCUUCCUUAUUUGUACAUGGAAUUUAAUUAUUAUUUUUUUGGAUUUUAAUUUUUUAUUUUUGGAUUUAUGUGAUAAAGGAGAUGAAGGUGAUUGUUGAUGUUAUUUUUGCUUAUUAUUGAAUUUUGAAUUUUGCUUACUGAUGUUGCUGCAACUGUUGUUAUUGUUGGAAUUGAGAUUGUAGUAUUGUUACUGUUGUUGCUGCAACUGUUGAUUAUGAAUAAGUUUUAAUUUUCUGGUUUUUUUCUUUCAAAAUGAUGAAUAAAAAUGAAAGUUUUAAUUGGGGAUGAAGAAGAACAUAGGGAAGAAGAUGGAGGAAAAAAUUCGGUGUUUGUGGUUCGUUAUAAGCUACAAUAG
rnacentral:lncRNA from 1 species